GCAGCCGCCGCGGGAAUACGUAGGUGGCAAGCGUUGUCCGGAAUUAUUGGGCGUAAAGCGCGCGCAGGUGGUUUAAUAAGUCUGAUGUGAAAGCCCACGGCUCAACCGUGGAGGGUCAUUGGAAACUGUUAAACUUGAGUGCAGGAGAGAAAAGUGGAAUUCCUAGUGUAGCGGUGAAAUGCGUAGAGAUUAGGAGGAACACCAGUGGCGAAGGCGGCUUUUUGGCCUGUAACUGACACUGAGGCGCGAAAGCGUGGGGAGCAAACAGGAUUAGAUACCCCUGUAGUCCCUGUCUCUUAUAC
rnacentral:rRNA from 1 species